rnacentral:lncRNA from 1 species
ACAGCAAUAUAUGUCCACGGUGGAUUCUCGAUUUGAGGAGCUACGUUCCCAAAUCAAUGGUUCCGUCGGAGCGUCAGUGGGUUCUUCCCGCCCAAUGGCACCGGAACCAGCGUCUUCGACUGUACUGUCAGGUGUUUCUGAUAUCUCUCCUCUGUUGCGUUCUAUGAAAAUGGAUGUCCCAAAAUUUGAUGGCACUGAUCCGACUGGUUGGGAUUUUCGAAUCAAUGAGUUCUUUGAUUUUCACGGCACCCCUGACCAUUUACGCCUUCGUAUUGUAUCUUUUCACAUGGAGGGAAAAGCAGCAGCAUGGUAUCAAUGGAUGAAGGCCAACAACUUGCUGAGCACUUGGCAGAAUUUUUUACUCAAUCUUAAGCAAAGAUUUGGUACAUCCAUGUAUGAAGAUCAUCCAGGUAACCUUUCCAAGCUCUCCCAAACGUCGACUGUUGCUGAUUUUCAGUCUGCCUUUGAGGAUUUGAUGAACAAGGUCACGGGCAUCUCCGAGCCAUUGUUGGUUAGUUUCUUUAUCACGGGCUUAAAACCCGAUAUCAGACGAGAAUUAUUAUUUGCAAGACCCACAUCUCUCAUGGAGGCUUUUGCUUUAGCCAAAGCUUAUGAGGCACGAUCGGAAGAAAUCAAGACCUCGAGCCGUUCUUGGACAAAGCGGACACCCUCAUCUAGUCACACCCACCAAUCCACCAUUACUGCCUCCCCACAUCCUGCAUCAUAUAAAACCCCAACAACAACUCUUCUUCCUAGUUUGUCAGCCACUAAACAGCCACGUCAACCCCCAUUAUUGCCUACUCCCACCUUGCCCAUUCGUCGAUUAACUCCAGCAGAAUUAAGAGAGAAAAGAGAAAAAGGGCUCUGUUACAACUGCGACAAAAAAUAUAGCGCCACACAUCGCUGCCGUAGCAAGUUUUUGUUAUUAAUGGGUACAGAUGAUGAAGAUGAUGAGCCAAGUGAGGACGCUUUUAGUCAUGCACAACCAGACGAAGUAGUCACAGCGGACAUAUCUAGUUUGAAUGCCUUGGCUGGGCAAACUAAUCCACGAUCUUUAAGGGUGCUGGGCACCGUUGCCAGCUAUCAGUUUCAGGUGUUAAUUGACAGUGGCAGUACCCGCAAUUUUCUUAAGCCGCCAUUGGCUGAACGCCUUGGCCUUUCUGUUCAAGCUAUAACUCCUUUUCGAGUUUACAUUGGCAAUGGCGAUUUUCUUACUUGUCGAUUUCUCUGCCCUAAAGUGCCUAUCAAUAUGCAGGGGCAUGAAUUUCUUUUGGAUUUCUUCCUUUUGCCAAUCGAAGGCCCUGAUGCUGUCCUUGGGAUUCAAUGGUUACAAAGCUUGGGAAGAAUUUCUACGGAUUACUCCGAGAUGACGAUGGAGUUUCAGUGGGAGGGAAAAUCUGUCAUUUUACGGGGAGACCCAAUUCCAAACCCGAAUUUAAUCUCUUUUAACCAGUUUCAUGCCUUGCUAUCCAACUCCAAAAUUGACAGCUUAUUUGAACUUCAUUCUUUACCAACUGAGCCAUCAGCAACUCACACAUCUACCAACACAUUGCCAGAUAAUGACUUAGAAUUUCUGAGGUCGUUGCCUGAACCUAUUACUACUCUCCUUAAAAAAUUUAAGGCAUUAUUUGCUCCACCCACUGGUCUUCCCCCUCAACGGCUAUUUGAUCACAAAAUACACCUUAUUCCCAAUUCCAAACCAGUCAACGUUCGCCCAUAUCGGUAUCCUUAUUUUCAGAAAACCGAAAUGGAGAAAUUGGUGAGAGAAAUGUUAAAUCAAGGCAUCAUAAAACCCAGCCAAAGCCCGUUUUCUUCACCGGUAAUGCUAGUAAAGAAAAAGGAUGGCUCCUACAGAUUCUGCGUGGAUUACCGCGCUUUGAAUGCGGUGACGGUAAAGGACAAAUUUCCCAUCCCCACCAUUGAUGAAUUGUUUGACGAACAUGGCGGUGCUAGGAUUUUCAGCAAACUUGAUCUCAGAGCCGGUUAUCACCAGAUAAGAGUUCACAAGAGGGAUACUUAUAAAACAACGUUUCGUACGCAUGAUGGACACUACGAGUUUCUUGUUAUGCCGUUCGGUUUGACCAACGCGCCGUCCACUUUUCAAGCAACAAUGAACCAACUAUUUGCUUCCUUUUUACAUAAAUUUGUUAUUGUCUUUUUUGAUGAUAUAUUGGUCUAUAGUGCAUCAUUGGCUGAUCAUGUGUAUCAUUUGGAGCAGGUCAUGAGUUGUUUAUACACAUCUCAAUUUUAUGUCAAAUUCUCCAAAUGUUUAUUUUGUCAGGAAUCAAUUGAUUAUUUGGGCCAUAUUGAGUCGGCUCGAGGAGUGCACGCUGAUCCGCAAAAGAUCACAGCCAUGGUAGAUUGGCCCUUGCCUAAAUCGGUGAAGCAACUGAGAGGGUUCUUGGGGUUGACAGGGUACUACCGACGUUUUAUUCAAGGCUAUGCAACCAUCGCAGCUCCUCUCAUUGAGUUGCUUUAUAAGGAGGCUUUUCAUUGGAAUUUGGCAGCUACUCAAGCUUUUCAAGCAUUAAAGAAGGCUCUUGUGGAAGCCCCUGUACUUCACUUGCCGAAUUUUGCCUUGGAGUUUGUCAUUGAGACCAAUGGGUCUAAUGUCGGGAUCGGUGUUGUGUUAAUGCAAGCUGGGCAUCCUCUAUCUUAUUUUAUCAAAAAGUUGGGUCCUCGAAUGCGUGCAUCCUCGACAUAUUUGAAGGAAUUAUAUGCUAUUGUAGCUGCGGUUCAAAAAUGGCGUCAAUACCUCCUUGGCAGAUUUUUCCUUAUACGAACUGACCAUAAAAGCAUAAAGGAACUGUUUCAACAAGUUAUUCACACCCCAGAGCAGCAAAUUUACAUUCGCAAGUUGAUGGGUUAUCAAUUCAGAAUUGAUUAUAAAGCUGGUACCUUCAAUAAAGCUGCUGACGCUUUAUCGCGAAUUCAUGGGGACAACUUGACUGAAGAACCCAACCCAACGACUCUCUAUUUGUCGUUUGUAAGCCAACCUUCUAGUGAACUAUUGACAAAUCUGCACAAGGAAAAUUGCUCUCUUCAUGAUAUGAAACAACUCCAUCAGAGGUAUGCAGCCGGUUCACUUUCUUCUGACUUCUCGGUUCAAGAAGGGUUCCUGCUAUUUCGACAUCGAUAUUACCUCAGCCCCGACUCAUCAUUAAAAGCCGUGCUACUCAAAGAGUUUCACGAGACACCAAUGGCAGGACAUGCUGGUAUUAAAAAGACAUUGGUACGUCUUUCAUCAAAUUUCUUUUGGCCUAAGAUGAGGAAAGAUGUUGAGCAACUUGUAGCUGCUUGCCUUGUUUGCCAGCAAAUUAAAUACUCAACUCAAGCACCGGCGGGUCUGUUACAACCCUUGCCUGUCCCUUCAUUAGUUUAGGAUGAGUUAACCAUGGAUUUCAUUACAGGGCUGCCACUUUCGAGAGGAUUUGAAGCAAUUCUGGUUGUUGUGGAUCGUUUAUCAAAGUCAGCUCACUUUGGAGCCUUGCCUUCUCAAUUUACUGCCAUCAAAACAGCAGCUUUAUUUGCUGACAUGGUUGUGAAAUUACAUGGAUUUCCUAGCUCUAUAAUUUCAUAUCGUGAUCCUAUAUUCAUGAGCAACUUUUGGCAGAAAUUGUUUGAUUUAAGUGGGACACAGUUACGCCACAGCACGGCUUACCACCCUCAAACGGAUGGCCAAUCCGAAGUAGUUAACCGAGGGCUUGAGCAAUAUUUACGAGCCUUCACACAAGACAAGCCACAGACAUGGUCUUCAUUUUUAAGCUGGGCUGAAUUUUGCUACAAUACCAGUUAUCACUGCAGCUUGCGUAUGACUCCCUUUCAAGCCCUUUAUGGCCGUCUUCCUCCCACAAUUCCAAGUUACUCAAGGGGCUCUACUUCAAUCCAAGCUUUAGAAGACAUGUUAAUUGAGAGGGAUGCCAUGCUUUGCUCAUUAAAAGAGAACUUACGACAAGCUCAGCAUCGAAUGGCUCAAAAGGCUAAUUUACAUCGCCGAGAAACUCAAUUGCAGGUAGGUGAUAAAGUGCUGGUGCACCUUCAGCCAUAUCGCCAGACAUCAGUUGCUAAGCGCUCAUCUCACAAGCUGGCAAGGCGCUAUUAUGGACCGUUCACAAUGGUAGAGCGUAUUGGACCCGUUGCUUACAAGUUAGAGUUACCCACAAAUUGUAGAAUUCACCCGGUGUUCCAUAUUUCCUUACUAAAACCUUAUGUGGGAAACUCCCCCAUUGAUGUUUAUUCACUGCCUCCAGGAAGUGUGGAUAACAAGCCCCUGUCAUCGCCAAUUGCAGUAUGUGCUGAGCGAAAGAUACUUCGACAAGGCAAAGAAAUUCCACAAAUUUUGGUGCAAUGGUCUGAUAGCUCACCAGAAAAUUCGACUUGGGAGGACUUUGAGGAAUUUGGUAAACUCUACCCUGCACUACACCUUGAGGACAAGGUAAGCUUUCAAGGAAUGGGGAAUGAUACAACUUGGCCAAUUGUUGUGAAUCAGAUCGAGCACAAUGAGGCAGCAAAGGAAGAGACCCAGCCUGCAGCAAUGGAAGAAGUCCAACCCUUGAAUGAGACACAAGCUAGAGAGCAGCUCAAGACAGGUCCAGCUCGCGCGAGAAAGAAACCAGGAUGGCUCAAAGACUUUGUCAUUUGAGGAAUGUUCGAGAAUGCUUG